GAACUUGAUCCACACAUGGAGAGUCCACUCAUUCUUUCUAAGAGCAGCAGGGUAUUUUGUUGCAAUUUAUACAGCCACUUCCCUAAUGAUUGUGAAAGUGUAGAAAGGCUCCUACCAACAGUGCCACAAUCCUCUUCUUUGUCCGUAGAGUGGUAAUUUUGUGGCACAUCUAUAGGCAAAUUUCUAGCAGUUGAAUUGCUGGGUUGUUGGAUACACAAAUUUCUACCCAUAUUGUCAAAAUUAUCCUCUUCAGCGGUUACACUUGGACCUCUGAGGUUAAACCUGGACUCCCAACAAUUAACAGUGCAUGAGGGCGCCCACACACUUGCUAACGCUAAAUCAACGUGCUCGAUCUUUUCGAUCUGUCAGUCCAAUGGGUUCAGAUUAUAUUUCGUUGUUGUCUGGUUUUGCACCUUUUCAGUUAUAAGGAAGGGUGAUCGUCUUUUUCACUACCAUGCACUAUUUGUGUUGCUUUUUUUUCUGUGACCUGCUUGUUCAUGUUCUUAGUGCAUUUUUCAUUAGGUUAUUGGCCUUUUUCUUAUUGAUCUCUUUAAACCACAAAUGGUUUAAAAAAACUAAGCGAUGCAAAGAGACGUGCUUCAGGAAGAACAGCCUGAGAACUGUGAGCAGAGAGAAUGUGAAGCAAGAUGAGCUCCUGGGGGAGCCAACGGUGAUCUGAUGCGCUACAGUCUAAAGGGGAAGAAGAACAGAGGUCCUGGUCCUACUCCCACCACCACCAGGAUGUAAGUUCAAGGUGCUCAUGAUAAAGAUGGAAGGCAGAGAAUCUCCCUCAGUGAUGAGGACCUGGAGCAAGGGAGUGGGAAAAUGGACUCUUACCCUUUAAAGAACAAAAGCAUCAAGCCACUGGGGUGGGUGCAACAAGCCCUGUCAUCCCCAGGGGAGAGGCGAAGACCCACUGAAGCUAAAGAAGUAUAUAGAAAAACUUCUGGAUGCCAAGAACACAAAUGUGAUGGCUGGAGCUCCAGCAGUCACUUUGGCCGUGAGAUGACAGAAUUUGGAGACUGUGAGCUAGGAUGGUGGGGCAGAAAGAAGGAACCAAAUUCCCUGAUGAUGCAAAACUACCAGACCAGCUCUAGGCGCCUAUCUCUGAACUUUUUAGUAAAGGAUAAUAAACUACUAUUUUGCUUAAACUACUCUUAUUGGAGUUUUCUAUAAUA